CCUACGGGGGGCUGCAGUGGGGAAUAUUGGACAAUGGGGGCAACCCUUAUCCAGCCAUGCCGCGUGUGUGAAGAAGGCCCUCGGGUUGUAAAUCACUUUCAGUGAGGAAGAACGCCUGGUGGUUAAUACCCAUCAGGAAAGACAUCACUCACAGAAGAAGCACCCGCUAACUCCGUGCCAGCAGCCGCGGUAAUACGGAGGGUGCGAGCGUUAAUCGGAAUUACUGGGCGUAAAGCGCGCGUAGGUGGCUUGAUAAGCCGGUUGUGAAAGCCCCGGGCUCAACCUGGGAACGGCAUCCGGAACUGUCAAGCUAGAGUGCAGGAGAGGAAGGUAGAAUUCCCGGUGUAGCGGUGAAAUGCGUAGAGAUCGGGAGGAAUACCAGUGGCGAAGGCGGCCUUCUGGACUGACACUGACACUGAGGUGCGAAAGCGUGGGUAGCAAACAGGAUUAGAUACCCUUGUAGUC
rnacentral:rRNA from 1 species